GCGAAAACUUUACAAUGUUGGCAACAGCGAUAAGGGAACCUCGAGUGCCAGGUUACACAUCUGGCUGUCGAGAUGCCUAAAAAGCAUUUCAUAGCAAGGGCCGGGCAAGACCGGUGCCAGCCGCCGCGGUAACACCGGCGGCUCGAGCGGUAGCCGUUAUUAUUGGGUCUAAAGGGUCUGUAGCCGGCCGGAUAAGUCUCUUGAGAAAUCUGGCAGCUUAACUGUCAGGCUUUCAGGAGAUACUGUCUGGCCCGAGGGCGGGAGAGGUGAGAGGUACUUCAGGGGUAGGGGUGAAAUCUUGUAAUCCUUGAAGGACCACCAGUGGCGAAGGCGUCUCACCAGAACGGACCUGACGGCAAGGGACGAAAGCUAGGGGCACGAACC
rnacentral:rRNA from 1 species